AAAUACAGCUGCCCAGCUUACUGGAGCCUUUGUGCUGAAUCAGUGGGACUUGUUUUAGCAUUGCAUGGACCUGAGUGAGCUCUGCAGCCACCACCUAUAACUGAAGUCUCUUGUGCCAUGCUUUGAAAGGAAGUUACCCACAGCAACUCUCAUUUGAGGAGAACAAAGCCAUGAGGACUUGCAUUUUUAACCUACACAUGGCCAGCAAAGGCACACAGAGUUGACAUGGAACACAGAACCAACUAAGGCAAAUACUGGCCUCAGAACACAGAACAGACACCAAAGAGUACAACAAGGAAGAGAAAUGAAAAUGAAAUUUAGAACUGCAAAACUCUGAGAGUCCCAGUUCCCAAUACUUGUAGGACCUUGGAUAAGCCACUUAAUAUCUUCAUAGAACCCUAGUUUCUCUUCAGCAAAGAAGUUGGUGUCCUGGGAAAAUCCCCUCAUUGUCACAUAGGGAUCAGCACCUAACUGCAAGUGCAAUUCAGCCACUCCCUAAGAGAUGGGUUCCUACUGCAUCUGAUCUCGGCCAAGAUGCUCCCAUCUGCUUUCAACAUGUAGCGUCUGACGUUAACUAAUGUCUUCUAUUAGCAUUAAAAGAAAACAAUCUGGAAAAAUUCACUCUCAAGCAGAGUUCAAACAGGCCACAAGUAGAUGUGGAAUCUCAACUGUACAAGUGCAGAGCUAUUUGUCAAGAAGCAGCUGCCCAGCCAGAACCUUUUAUUUCUCUGCCACUGUCAGAGGAGAGGGGCCUAAAAGACUAAUAGGGCCAAAACAAUGUGAGCAGAAGUAAUACAUCACUUCAGGGUUGAAGUUGAUGGAGAUGUGUAUCACUUCUGGGAAGAAAUUAAGAAGCCAUGUCUCGCAUAUAAUCUCUUUUCCUAUUGCCAGAUGAAUGGAAAGUCUCCAAGGAAAAGUCACAAGAUGGAAAUAGCCUGGGUCCUGAAAUGAACCAUCUAUCAAGUAUAUCAACAUUGGACAUGACAUUA
rnacentral:lncRNA from 1 species